GCCACAAAAAUCCAAAUCUUUGUAGAUAAAGAUUUGGAUUUGGUUAAGAGAUGUAAUCUGUGAAGAACCGGUUACUCUUUUGAAAAUUAAAGGCAGUAUUGAUCAAUCCAACUGUAAACGUGAUAAAACAUUUCGUUUUAUUGUUCGGAAUGAGCUUUUUGCUUGCCUAUAAACCCACUCAUCUUCAU
rnacentral:misc_RNA from 1 species